rnacentral:rRNA from 2 species
GGGUUAGUAGAUUGGUCAUGCCUCUGGUAUGUACUGGUUUCACUGAUUCCUCCUUCCUGAUGAACCGUAAUGCCAUUUAUUUGGUGUUGCGAGGAAUUUGGACUGUUACUUUGAAAAAAUUAGAGUGUUUAAAGCAAGCUAACGCUUGAAUACAUUAGCAUGGAAUAAUGAAAUAGGACGUUCGAUCCUAUUUUGUUGGUUUCUAGGAUUGACGUA